AAAAAUCCAAAAAAACAAGGAGCGUCUGAUCAAGCCUCAUUAAUUGAUGUGGCUGAUCAGACGGUCCACAUGCGCGCUUCCAUGGUAUACCAAAAUCAUUAGCGAAACACAUGGCAUUAUUAAAAGUCAAUCAAACGGAGCGUUGAGAUUAGAUCAGAGUCAAAGGAUCCAAUGGCCAUGGACUCAUCCACGUGGGGACGGUGGUGGAAACCACCGUCUUCUCCGGUGAGACUCAC
rnacentral:lncRNA from 1 species